rnacentral:lncRNA from 1 species
AGCCAAUCACAACACGACACGUGUCAAUGUCAGAAUGAAAAUAGAAACUCACUUCUAUAAAUAGAGAUCAUUCUCUCACAAUAUUUCCUAAUGUCAUUUGUACUAAAUCAUUCGCUAGUACUCACUAAAGGAGAGCUUGAACCUAUGUACUUGUGAAACCCUUCACAAUUAAUAAGAACUCCUCUACUCCGUGGACGUAGCCAAUCUGGGUGAACCACGUACAUCUUAUGCUUGCUUCCCUAUCCCUAUCCAUUUACAUACUUAUUCACACUAGUGACCGGAGCAAUCUAGCGAAGGUCACAAACUUAACAUUUUCUGUUGUACCAAAGUCCUCACUGAUUUUGUGCAUCAACAUUUGGCACCGUCUGUGGGAAAUGCCUCCUCUUCUUUGGGCCUAACAACUUUCUUAACAAAUAUAUAUGAAGAAGGAGUUUUGGGCUACCACUUAGAAAGGAAAUGCCUCAUUCGUCAACUCCCUCGACCGGAAACUUGGGGGACUCCUACCAUAUGCUACUGCACCUUGAUACUCGGAAGUUUGACGACCACUCAGUGACUUGGAUUUUU